rnacentral:rRNA from 1 species
CUACGGGGUGCUGCAGUGGGGAAUAUUGCACAAUGGGCGCAAGCCUGAUGCAGCCAUGCCGCGUGUAUGAAGAAGGCCUUCGGGUUGUAAAGUGCUUUCAGCGGGGAGGAAGGGAGUAAAGUUAAUACCUUUGCUCAUUGACGUUACCCGCAGAAGAAGCACCGGCUAACUCCGUGCCAGCAGCCGCGGUAAUACGGAGGGUGCAAGCGUUAAUCGGAAUUACUGGGCGUAAAGCGCACGCAGGCGGUUUGUCAAGUCAGAUGUGAAAUCCCCGGGCUCAACCUGGGAACUGCAUCUGAUACUGGCAAGCUUGAGUCUCGUAGAGGGGGGUAGAAUUCCAGGUGUAGCGGUGAAAUGCGUAGAGAUCUGGAGGAAUACCGGUGGCGAAGGCGGCCCCCUGGACGAAGACUGACGCUCAGGUGCGAAAGCGUGGGGAGCAAACAGGAUUAGAUACCCCUGUAGUC